AGCCAAGCAGCCAGGCCUGUUUCGUCAGAUAGGAGCUAACAGCGCUAGGAACAGCAUGGCAGUUCGUUCCUGUGUUGUUUGUGAAAACAACACAUUAGUGUUAUAUGCUUUGUCCAGUAAUUCAGAGCUAAGGAACAAUAUGUCAAUGAAACACCACCAGCGAAGUACAAUUGAAAGAGACUCCGGGAGUUAAGGAGAAAUCAAGAGCCCAGGAGGACAGGACCGGUCAAAUAGCGGCAGACAACAAUAAGAUUGGCUGUUCUUCCAUGUGGCUAAGACACACUGUUUAUACCAAGGCUGGGAUCAUCAGUGAAAAAAGUUGUUGUGCCACUCUCUAUGUCAGAGGCUGCUUUUAUUGAAAAAAAAGAGCAGAAUUCCCUGCUGUACAAAGUGACUUUUUCCUUCUAAGAGUUAACAGACAGAGGAGAAUCCACAGGCUGGAGGCUGCUAUAAAAGCCUGUUCUGUGCUAAGAAGAUCAGCCGUUUACAUCAGAAAUAUGGCACGCUACUGACACUUUAGUAAAAUUCCAGGGCAUUUUAAAUGUUUUAUAAUUAAAUAAAACAUGCAGUCUACAAUA